CAAAUUAUCCAAUUUACGUCACUUUGUUUAAUAUAAAAGCAUCAAAUCCUGAACACUAAAUAUCAGUUAUUCACAAUCGUUUAAGGAGCGAUCAGCAUUUAGCAAUUAACAUGAAGAAUAUUGUUCUUAUUUCGACUUUCGUGAUGAUGAUGGUCCUUGUCGCCCAUCUUGGCACCGUGGAAGCGGGAGGGUUUAGUUUGGGCUGCACCAUAUCCUGUGGAAUAUGGAACGCUUGCCGUGGAAAGUCCGCUUUUUCUGGAAGUCUUACGCAGUGUGGACCAGAACCUUCGGGCUGUCGCUGUACUUCUUUUUAUUGGGAGUAAUAAACACCAGCAUUUUUGCAGCAGUUAUUUAUUUGUAAUUUAAGACUAUUUAUUUUAAUAAAAAUUUUGUAAUCUAA